CCGAUGACAGACUCCCCAGCACGCAGUUGCUCCUCUGUGAACUCACGUUUGCAUUCCUCUGACGGUUUAGGUCCCAGAUAGGGGCCCUUCCACUCGGGGUGCUUGUACGUCUGUGGAAAGGACAGUAAUGUAGAGAAUCGAGGGAAGACGGUUUUUGGAAUCCCCGUCUGCAGCUUCGCCCAACGAAGCCGCCAUGUUGUUUACCAUCGGGAAUUAACGUUCUCGUCGCUGCAACUGUCGCCACAGAUAUUCGAAAAGCGAGAGUCGACAGGAAAUACGACUGCACGAACAGCCAUAGGUUUUUUUCGUUUUCUUGAAAUAACCACCAUCUAAAUAGGCCAAGUUAUUAUUACACGACCUCCUUCAAUUCACGACCAACCGACGGAAACUGGGGCUGAGGGAAUGGCCAAUACACAACAAAAUGUAUUUCUUUAAUAUUAGCAACCGUGUUCUUUUCGAACGGAAUAUUUUUCGCUCGGGGAAUUUUUAAAUAACGUAGCCUUAUUUACGAGUACGUAAUGUACAUUUAUUUAAAUGUUAAGCGAUGAAUACUCGAACGAAUACUCUUCUAAUAUGACUUCUUACCUUCCACGAUAUACCAAUCGAACGUAUUAAAAGAGUAUUUAAAUAACAUUUACUUAUUAUACAUACAUUAUAUAUUUACUAUUUACUAAUUACAUUUUUUCGUUUUCGUUUUACAUUAUAUAUUUACUAUUUACAUAUUAAAAGAGUAUUUAAAUAACAUUUACUUAUUAUACAUACAUUAUAUAUUUACUAUUUACUAAUUACAUUUUUUCGUUUUCGUUUUACAUUAUAUAUUUUACUAUUUACAUAUUAAAGGAGUAUUUAAAUAACA